rnacentral:rRNA from 1 species
UACGAAGGGGGCUAGCGUUGUUCGGAAUCACUGGGCGUAAAGCGUACGUAGGCGGAUUGUUAAGUCAGGGGUGAAAUCCCGAGGCUCAACCUCGGAACUGCCUUUGAUACUGGCUGUCUUGAGUCCGGGAGAGGUGAGUGGAACUCCUAGUGUAGAGGUGAAAUUCGUAGAUAUUAGGCAGAACACCAGUGGCGAAGGCGGCUCACUGGCCCGGAACUGACGCUGAUGUACGAAAGCGUGGGGAGCAAACAGG